rnacentral:rRNA from 1 species
CAGUAGCCGCGGUAAUACGUAGGUGGCAAGCGUUGUCCGGAAUUAUUGGGCGUAAAGGGCUCGCAGGCGGUCUCUUAAGUCUGAUGUGAAAGCCCCCGGCUCAACCGGGGAGGGUCAUUGGAAACUGGGAAACUUGAGUGCAGAAGAGGAGAGUGGAAUUCCACGUGUAGCGGUGAAAUGCGUAGAGAUGUGGAGGAACACCAGUGGCGAAGGCGACUCUCUGGUCUGUAACUGACGCUGAGGAGCGAAAGCGUGGGGAGCGAACAGGAUUAGAUACCCCUGUAGUCCCUGUAUCUUAUAA